AAGUCGUAACAAGGUUUCCGUAGGUGAACCUGCGGAAGGAUCAUUACUGAGUUAGGGUUCUUUAUAGGCCCGACCUCCAACCCUGUGUCUAUCUAACCACGUUGCUUCGGCGGGCCUGUCUUGUCGAUUCAGGACUGCCGGGGGGUCUUACCACCCCUGGCUCGUGCCCGUCGGUGGCCUCAACUUAAAAACUCUUGAUAAACUGUGUCGUCUGAGUCUUAAUUAAAAUUAAACAAAA
rnacentral:misc_RNA from 1 species